GAUGAAGAACGUAGCGAAAUGCGAUAAGUAAUGUGAAUUGCAGAAUUCAGUGAAUCACCGAAUCUUUGAACGCACAUUGCGCCCCUUGGUAUUCCGAGGGGCAUGCCUGUUCGAGCGUCAUUAUAACCCCUCAAGCUCAGCUUGGUGUUGGGGCCUGCUGCACUGGCAGCCCUUAAAAUCAGUGGCGGCGCCAUCUGGCUCUAAGCGUAGUAAUUCUUCUCGCUAUGGAGUCCUGGUGGAUGCUUGCCAUCAACCCCCAAUUUUUCUAUGGUUGACCUCGGAUCAGGUAGGGAUACCCGCUGAACUUAAGCAUAUCAAUAAGCGGAGGA
rnacentral:misc_RNA from 1 species